AUUGAACGCUGGCGGCAUGCCUUACACAUGCAAGUCGAACGGUAACGCGGGGCAACCUGGCGACGAGUGACGAACGGGUGAGUAAUAUAUCGGAACGUGCCCAGUUGUGGGGGAUAACUGCUCGAAAGAGCAGCUAAUACCGCAUACGACCUGAGGGUGAAAGCGGGGGAUCGCAAGACCUCGCGCAAUUGGAGCGGCCGAUAUCAGAUUAGGUAGUUGGUGGGGUAGAGGCUCACCAAGCCAACGAUCUGUAGCUGGUCUGAGAGGACGACCAGCAACACUGGGACUGGGACACGGCCCAGACUCCUACGGGAGGCAGCAGUGGGGAAUUUUGGACAAUGGACGCAAGUCUGAUCCAGCCAUGCCGCGUGCGGGAAGAAGGCCUUCGGGUUGUAAACCGCUUUUGUCAGGGAAGAAACGCUCUGGGUUAAUACCUCGGGGUAAUGACGGUACCUGAAGAAUAAGCACCGGCUAACUACGUGCCAGCCGCCGCGGUAAGAC
rnacentral:rRNA from 1 species